GGGGGCACAGCUCAGGGGCAGAGCACUGGACUGCAGAUCCAGAGGUCCCCGGUUCAAAUCCGGUUGCCCCUG
rfam:Erinaceus europaeus unplaced genomic scaffold scaffold01780, whole genome shotgun sequence